GCACACUCUCUCAGUCUCUCCUCUCUCUGUCACUCUCUCUCCCAUCCCUCUCUCUUUCCCAUCUCUCUGUCUCUCUCUGUCUCUCUCUGCCUCUCGCUCUCUAGCUGUAAGUUCAUUCGCUGUGGCGAGCAACAACUGUGCAAAGAGGAGGUUUGAUCCUGUUGUUGAGCAUCGUCCCUCCCUGAGAGGCUGCUGCUGCUGAUGCUGCUGCUACUGCAGCAUCAUCCACCUGCACAACCCCAUGGCUGGCUGGCUGGCUGGCUGACUGGCUGGCUGACACGUUAGGCGCUACUGCUACACGCUGGGACUGCGAGGGGGCUGCCUGCGCAUGGGGAACACCUGCCUGUGAACAAACGCUGCUGGUCGACGCGCAGGCUACUAACCCCAUUGCAAUCCACCGCUCUCCACUGUGGACAACACAAAAACAAGGUGAUAUACCUUACAAUCACGGCAUGUCUUCUCUGAGGCAGGGGAUCAGACACCAGCCUGGCUAGUAUCUCUGUGGAAGGCUGUGCCUGGACCAACACUCACAGGGUAAGAGCUUCAACACAAGUGGAUAUGCCACAAUUCCCUCUUCUUCUUUUUUCAUCCCAAAAAGAAGUAAAAAUUGUGAUCAAUUUUUAUUUUCUUGUUUUUUUUUGGUGCAGAAAUGUUUUUUUUCUCUGCUGUAUACUGACCAACAGUGUACAAAAUUGAUGUACAUACAAAAGGAGUUUGGUGUUCAUUUUUCUUGGUGUUUGUUUUUUUUGUGAUUUGUCGUCCCGUUGUGUGUAUUGGUGUGUUUGACUGUCUGGUGCCUUUCUUUUUUUCAUUGGAUUCGUCUCGUGUGGUGUGAGGUAUUACCAUAUUCAUGGGACUCCCGCAAUUAAAUUGCAAUCAGAAAAAGGGUCCAGCAAGUAAGGGGGGUUUCAUCUGGCGGAGGCGCGAGGCAAGAGCCUCUCAGACCGAAGAGGACAAGGAGGAGGGAGGUGUGGAGGAGUGAGGAAGAGAAUACAGAUUCAUCCAGAGAUACUCCGGCCGACCACAGCAGAAAAAAAUCAUCUGCACAGAUUUUCACUCUUCUUCUCCCUCUGUUCCUCCUACUCAUCUUUUCAUCUCUGCCUCCAACGUAUGGUGGUCUAAGUACAGUGGUAUAAAUCUGAGGUUUCAUUAUGUGUGGAUAUGCUGGUGUGGAGUGAGAGCGAAAGAGAGAGAGCAGGACAGGGCUAAAAUGGGCAUCUCUUCCUCCUUAUGGAUCGCUCCUGGAGGACAGGACCACCAGGACUUCCAAGGAGGGCAGGGCUUCAGACCACCUCUGGCCCAGGUAAGAGCAUGCUGAGGGGGCAAACGUCCCCACAUACCACCCCUUUACCUCUCCUCUCUUAUGGAACUCCAUUUAUUUGACCACUGGCGUGUGUGAGAGAGAGAGAUGCAGACUCUUGGAAGAGAAGAUUGUUUACACCACUUUGUUCUUUUGGCUUUGGAUUGAAAAAUGCACUGUUAAUUUCUAUUUGCAGAAAAACCUUUGAUGGGGCCUUGUGUUGUGCUUCAAGGCGUCUUCAAUCAAUUAUGUUGAUACAGUGUCUUUCUCUGUGUUGCUUGCCAUUGGGACCGACUGAGGAAUUUGAUGCGGUCACGCUUGCUUGUGAUUCCCAUUAUUGCCUCUCUGUGUUUAAGAUUCUCUUCGGUGACGGGUAUUCUUGGGUGUAUAAUACGGAUCACGUUGUUAUUGCUUAAGAAUACGCGUAGUCGAGGAGAGUCCUCUUCUUCUUCUUCGUCUGUCUUCGUCUGCAGCUGAGGACUAUUGAUCAGAUCGAAGCAGCUCAAAGUACCCCCCUACCUGUUUCCUUUUAAUACUGAGGAGUUGGCACACAGAAACACAAACCGUAGAGACUGACUGACAUCCAGGCCCAUUUAUCAAGCAAGGAGACAGAGCACUGCCGGCUGCCUAUCUGUUUCAGUGAUGAUUGUGCUGUCCAGUCUUGAGAUAGCGUCGACCAACCACUCUCGUCUGCAGGUUUUUUUUUUUAAACCGUCCCCCCCCCACCCUUUUUCAUAAUAUAUAUACUGUGCUGUUGUCGUUUUGUCACAGAUGUUUCAGAUUUCACAUGUUUAUUUGACCAUUAUCAUGUCCAGAAUAUGAAAGUGUAUUUGCAUAUAUUCAUGCUGCAUUAUGUAUUUGUAUUGUGUGGUAGAUAUGCUACAGUGAGUGUAUAUUUCAUAGGCUUCUGAUACAACAGGAUAGUGUUGUUGUGCAGUUAUAGCAGAGGUUAGACAGCAUGGCCCUGGUCCUCUCUCAUGCAAAUCUCUCGAGUCUAUUUAUUAUCAGUCGUCCAGACCAAGCAUUCUUUUCCUCCUUCUCCUUUUUUAUGCAAAUUGAUUUUGAAAUGACAUUUAUCGCGUUGGGUUUUCCACACGAAAGAGCUGCCACACCGGAGCCCAGACAACAAAAUGUCCACCGCUCUAGCGAGAGCUCAAUUUAUGCAUUGGAGGAGAGUGGGUCUCGAUAACAAUUACCACAGGCUCAAAUGGACCAUAACCGGGUUUUCCGUGUUAUCAUAUGUAUAGUAUAUGCCAUGAAUAUGUAUCAGAAAGUCCCCCUGGUUGGAUGCAGGGUGCAUUCUGAACCCUAACACCCAUGUCAAAUCCAUUUAAACACCAUAUAGGAACAACUUAACUUAUAGAGCCACACUCAAGAUUCCCCUCCCCCCCAAAAAAAGUAUAUUAAAUGUCAUAAAAAACAAAAUGUAUGGUAUUUAUAUUUUUUUUACAAGCAUUCUUUGUCUUUUAAGAAUAAUGAAAAAAUCUAGCUAUACUAAUACCAUUUCAGAUAUUUAAAAGAACACAAUUAUAUGUUAACUGCUUGGCUCGCUUGAUAAGUAUUACUCUAUUUAUAAUGAUAGAAAUCCCACUGAAUCUGUGUUUGAAUGGGUAGGAAAAUGAAAGAAACACCAGAAGCUUGGUUGGCCCCAUAUUUCACCACUAUGGAAAGUACAGAGCUGAUAAAGAUCAUAUCAGAAUGUACUUUGUACAUCACCUUCUGUAGUGGAUCUAAAUUAUUUCAGAAAAUACAUCUACAUGGAGAAAGAGAGGGGGUUAGACAUAUGUCUGAUAUGUGCUUCAAUGAAUCUCUGUAUUUUCUGUUUUGAAACAAACCAGGCCCUUGCUGCUGACACAAUCUUUACCUAACCAUGAUCACGUGGUGUGGUCCUGAUCUCUUCAGCUGCUGAACCAUUCUUUACCUAUGCCUGCUUUUUGGAUUUUCUCUUGUCACGUUUACAUUAUAUUACUAGUAGACAAUGUCUAUUAUCCUGAUAGACAGUAAGAAUGUCAUAGCCAACAGUCAAAUGUAUAGAUUCAGUGAAUUGAGCAUGACCUUUAUUGAACACAUCUUCAUUUACAAGAAUAGUAUUAUAAAUUGAUCCAUUUUAUUUUUCAUAUAUUCUAGCAAUGUUCUGCUUUCCUACAAAGUAUACUUGCAUACAUAUAUGACGUUAUACAUUUUUUAGAAUUACUGCAUUCGUUAUUAUAACAAAUUAUGAACAUCUUUUAAAUUCACUAAAUAUGUCACAGUAAUAUACAUUGGAAAUCCAAUGACAUUAAACCCGAUAUCUAUCUGAUAGUUGACAUUAUUUCCUUUUUAAUUUAGGUGUGUUUAAUUCAUAGCAUAUCAUUAUUUUAGUGAUAAUGUAUUACACAAACACAGCUGCAAUGUAAACUACAAUGCCAAUGACCCAUGUAUUGUAAAAGUGCCUUAUUUUAUAAAUAAAAUUUCACAAAAGAUA